AGAAUGAACGCUGGCGGCAUGCCUAACACAUGCAAGUCGAACGAAGUCCUUCGGGGCUUAGUGGCGCACGGGUGCGUAACGCGUGGGAAUCUACCCUUAGGUUCGGAAUAACAGUUGGAAACGACUGCUAAUACCGGAUGAUGACGUAAGUCCAAAGAUUUAUCGCCUAGGGAUGAGCCCGCGUAGGAUUAGCUAGUUGGUGUGGUAAAGGCGCACCAAGGCGACGAUCCUUAGCUGGUCUGAGAGGAUGAUCAGCCACACUGGGACUGAGACACGGCCCAGACUCCUACGGGAGGCAGCAGUGGGGAAUAUUGGACAAUGGGCGAAAGCCUGAUCCAGCAAUGCCGCGUGAGUGAUGAAGGCCUUAGGUUGUAAAGCUCUUUUACCCGGGAUGAUAAUGACAGUACCGGGAGAAUAAGCUCCGGCUAACUCCGCGCCAGCAGCCGC
rnacentral:rRNA from 1 species